rnacentral:rRNA from 1 species
UACGGAGGGAGCUAGCGUUGUUCGGAAUUACUGGGCGUAAAGCGCACGUAGGCGGCUUUGCAAGUCAGAGGUGAAAGCCCGGGGCUCAACCCCGGAAUUGCCUUUGAGACUGCAUCGCUAGAAUUGUGGAGAGGUAAGUGGAAUUCCGAGUGUAGAGGUGAAAUUCGUAGAUAUUCGGAAGAACACCAGUGGCGAAGGCGACUUACUGGACACAUAUUGACGCUGAGGUGCGAAAGCGUGGGGAGCAAACAGG